UAUAUACAUAUAUAUAUAUAUAUAUUAUUUUCUCACAACAGAGAUAGAGAGAGAGAGAGAGAAAGAAGAGAGAAAGAAAAAGAGAGGAGAGAGAGAGAGGUAGAGAGAGAACGCCGUCACAGAAAUGAUGCGGUAUUUUAAAAUACGCAAAAAGACGGCGUUGUAUUGCAAUAUUAAUAGAACUAGGUAAUUAUUUAUAGGAACAAUUAUUUAUAGAAGGAGACGAGAAAUAAGAAACAAUUAAUAACAAUAACAACAAAAAGAAAAUGAUUAAUUGGUUCUCAUUAAGAAGAGUUACCCUUGUAAAUUUAUAAAUGCAAAAAAUUUUCAGUAAUCUCAAAACAAUAAUGUUGUUAUUGAAAGCAUAAAAGCUUUAUCUAUAAGAAAAAGAAAAACAACAACACAACAACAAAAACAACAACAAAAAGGAGGAUUAUAUAUAUAUAUAUAUAUAACAAUUAUACAUAUAUAUAGUGUCGUGGGGAAGACAUGUAAAUUGAAAUUGUCAUUAAUUCAGAAUUGAGUAUAUGGGAAAUCGGUUUUCAAAGUCUGACGCUUUACCCUGAUGCGAUGCUUGAUGAUAGAAAGGACUUCGUAGGAAACAUGUUAAUUGUCUUAUUUGCACCGAUCAUCCAGUUAAUCUCAAAGAAGUGUAGUUAGACAUAUUGAAGUAGCGAGCAAUGUGCAUCGACGGUGCGUGCAUGGAACCACGAAUUUUCUUAAAAAAAAAACAUUAAAAAAUAAAAAAUAAAAGUAAUAAUAAUAAUAAUAAUAAUAAUAAUAUAAUAAUAAUAAUAAUAAUAAUAAAAAAAAUAAAUAAACGACGAUGACGAUGACGACGACGAUGACGACGACGACAACAACAACAACCAACAACCAACAACAACAGCAACAACAACAACAACAACAACAACAAAAGAAAGAAAGAAAACAAUGCACUGGAGUGUCAGAGAAUCUUAAAAGAAAUUGAAAUAAAUAAAAUAAAGUAUCUUUGUACAUUGUACGAUACUAUUAAGUAUGAUUCUUGAUAUCUUCAUGGUGCGUAAAAUAGGUAAAUAAAUACCCACGAUAAAACACAUUCGUGUAAUUUACAAUUUACACAAUGCGAAAAAGCGAAUAUUUAGGAAUACAAUUGCCACAGCGUUUUACGAAUCCGAAACGCCGUACUCCGAGAAAAAAAAAUAUAAAUAUAUUAACUUAAAUGGUUUUACGUGUAUUAAAACGAUUGUAAAUAUAUAUUAGAUACACCUUAUAAUAAACAUAAUUUAACAUA